GGUGGCUCAAUGGUAGAGCGCUUGCCUUGCAAGCAUGAGGCCCUGGGUUCGAUUCCUCAGCACCA
rfam:Dipodomys ordii contig_32471, whole genome shotgun sequence.